rnacentral:rRNA from 1 species
CCUACGGGCGGCAGCAGUGAGGAAUAUUGGUCAAUGGGCGCGAGCCUGAACCAGCCAAGUAGCGUGAGGGAGGACUGUACUACGGGUUGUAAACCUCUUUUAUAAAGGAAUAAAGUGAGGCACGCGUGCCUUUCUGAGUGUACUUUAUGAAUAAGCAUCGGCUAACUCCGUGCCAACAUCCGCGGUUAUACGGAGGAUGCGAGGGUUAUCCGGAUUUAUUGGGUUUAAAGGGAGCGUAGGUGGGGUGUUAAGUGAGUUGUGAAAGUUUGGGGCUCAACCCUCAAAUUGCAAUUGAUACUGGCAGUUGUGAGUACAAUUGAGGUAUGCGGAAUUCGCGGUGUAGCGGUGAAAUGCUUAGAUAUCACGAAGAACUCCGAUUGCGAAGGCAGCUUACUAAACUGCCACUGACAUUGAUGCUCGAAAGUGUGGGUAUCAAACAGGAUUAGAUACCCCUGUAGUC